AGGGUUUGAUCAUGGGCUCAGAACGAACGCUGGCGGCGUGGCUAAGGCAUGCAAGUCGAACGGACGUAUCUCUAGGGUAACCGAAGGAUACGUUAGUGGCGAACGGGUGAGGAGUACAUGGAUAACGUACCUCGGUCUUGGGAAUAGCGGCGGGCUUCGGCCCUUUGCGAAAGCGCCGGUAAUACCCAACGACCCCACGGCAUCGAAUGUUGCUGUGGGCAAAGCUCCGGCGGUCUGAGAGCGGUCCAUGUCCUAUCAGCUUGUUGGUGGGGUAAAGGCCUACCAAGGCAACGACGGGUACCGGGCGUGAGAGCGUGACCCGGCACAUCGGAACUGAGACACUGUCCGGACACCUACGGGUGGCUGCAGCAACGAAUAUUCCGCAAUGGACGAAAGUCUGACGGAGCGACGCCGCGUGCAGGAAGAAGUCCCUCGGGAUGUAAACUGCUGUCAGGGGCUAGAAAGAUCUGAUCAGCCCCAGAGGAAGCCUCGGCUAACUACGUGCCAGCAGCCGCGGUAAUACGUAGGAGGCUAGCGUUGUUCGGAAUUACUGGGCUUAAAGAGCGUGUAGGCGGAGUAUCAGGUGCCUUGUGAAAGCCCUCGGCUCAACCGAGGAAUGGCUGGGCAACCGGUACUCUUGAGGCAGGUAGAGGUGACUGGAACGACUGGUGGAACCGGGAAAUGCGUAAAUAUCAUUUGGAACGCCGGGNGGCGAAAGCGGGUUCCUGGGCCUGUCCUGACCCU
rnacentral:rRNA from 1 species